UUUGGAAGGUAGGCAUCGUAGCUGAGGCUCGGAUCGCGGCCUUCUUACAAUCCAUUGUCAUCCUUGCCUUUAUGAAGCCAUCCGCUCGGUUUACUAAUCUUAGUAUGUCCUUUGUUCACAGGCUCUUCUUCUCAAGAUGAGAGCCAAGUGGAGGAAGAAGCGGAUGCGCAGGCUGAAGCGUAAAAGGAGAAAGAUGAGGCAGAGGUCCAAGUAAACGUCUCCUCCAUUGCUGCUUACAAGGCCUGCAAGCUAAACACAGCAGUCCAGCGAAGGAUGAAUCUACAGCCUCUGAUCUUCUAGAUGCCUUCCACCUUGGCCCAGUUGGCUGUCUGCAGGGAUGAGAGCUCCCUUCUGGAUUCCGCAAUGCUGUAGAAGCUGAACAGCCCAUGAUGUCUUGGACUGGCAUGCCAGUGCUCUCUGCUCUCAGGAGUUGGACUUGUUAGUUUUAUGGUCUUGUGCAGCAAGUGUAAUAAAUGUUUUUGGUUAAACCAAG